rnacentral:tRNA from 1 species
GGCCCGUUGGUGAAGCGACUUAACACAUACGCCUUUCACGUGUACAUUCAAGGGUUUGAAUCCCUUACGGGUCACCA